GUUAAAGCUAGUCGUGAUGUCACCAUGAACAGCAAAAAGGUCAUAUUUCAAGUUCACAGAAUCAGUAAAUAUAACAAAGAAGAAGUUCUUGAGAAGGCAGAAAAGGAUUUAGCAGCUGUGACAGAUCAGUAUAUGUCCCGAUUAGUCAAAGAACUGCAAGGCACUGAUUUUUGGAAGCUAAGACGAGCUUACUCUCCUGGG
rnacentral:misc_RNA from 1 species